GGGUCAGUAGGUUGGUCGUGCCACCGGUACGUACUGGUCUCACUGAUUCCUCCUUCCUGAAGAAUCGUAAUGCCAUUAAUUUGGUGUUGCGGGGAAACAGGACUGUUACUUUGAAAAAAUUAGAGUGUUUAAAGCAAGCCAACGCUUGAAUACAUUAGCAUGGAAUAAUGAAAUAGGACGAUCGAUCCUAUUUUGUUGGUUUCUAGGAUUGACGUA
rnacentral:rRNA from 1 species